GGUAUGUUCUAAUCGUUAUCCCUAUUUGACAGAUGGAGGAGAGGAAGCACCUCGAAGUACCAGCCACCGUGCUGGCAGAGAGGAGAGGGAUCAGCUCUCUUUGAGUGCAUAUCCAGGGAGUGGAAGAGCACCCAGAAGAGGGAACGCUUCAUCCAGAAGCUGAACAUGAGGAGUCCACUGGGCAACAGAAGCUGUGGAGGCAGAGGACACCGAAAAGAUGGGAAAACAGCCAACCCUGACCACCACCACUAGCCCCAUCUCAUCACCGACACAUUUCCUGAGGGUCUGCUGCAUCCUGGGGAUUGGCCACAUCAUUGAGAUGAUAACAUCUCUUCAUUUUUCUCACAGUAACCGUCUCUGCAUCUUACAGCUUUCUUUUCAGAUGCUGUCUUUGCCACAACUUGAUUUUUAAAUAACUGAAAGGCUCUUGAUUACUUUGUGAGAUCGAAGAUGAUCUUUGCUUGCACAUAAGAGUCACCUUGAUGCCGGUGUCUGUCACACCCCAGGUGGAUGGCGUAGGAAUCUCCAGCAGGCGAGCUUGAACACCAUCGGUGUUAAAAGGCUGACCAGUGUUUCUGUCAUGCAGUGAACUCUGAGAACCACUGUGUAUGACUCGGAGUUGUUUGAAUACCGGUGGAGCAAACGUUUUCACAUAAGCUGAUGUGCACCUUAACUUCAACCUCGCUGUUAUGGAGGCCUUUGCCAGCGGUAAAUCUUCCAUUUUUUCUUUUAGUAACUGGUUUCUCCAAGUGUUCUGCCUUGGGUCAUAUUUAUACUGUUUGUAAGAAAUCAGGCUGGGGCCGGGUGUGGUAGCGCACGCCUGUAAUCCUAGCGCUCAGGAGGCUGAGGCAGGAAGAUCGUUUGAGACCAGCCUGGGCUACAUAGUGAGUUCCAGGUCAGUCUAAACUACAUAGUGAGACCCUGUCUCAAAAACAAAACAAAUAAACAAGAAAUCAGGCUGGGGAUUUAGCUCAGUGGUUCUGCUGCCUGCCUGGCAAUUGCAAGGUCUCAAGUUUGAUCCCUGGUACCAAAAAAUAAAAAACAAAACAAACAAAAAAAG
rnacentral:lncRNA from 1 species